CCCCGCCCCCGCCACGCCCCCCCGGAGCCCAACUCCGAGGGGGAACGGGGCGCGGGGGAGCGGGGCCGCGGGGCGGGGGGAGCGCACGGAGGGGAGGGCAGGGCAGGGGGCGCACCGCCCCGGCCCCGCCCCGCCCCGCCCCGCCCCGCCGGCGGGAGGAGGAUGCUGCCGCCGCUGCCGCCGGUCCGCCCGCCGGCUCCUGUUGCUCUCACCCCACCGCGGGUCUCUGCGCGGAUCGCGGUCGUGCCGCCCCGGAGCGGGCGAUGCGGAUCCGGGGGGUACCGGCCUGCCCGCCCCCAACUUUCUCAGCGCCGCCUCGCAGCCAGCCCCGCCGGAGGGGCCGGGGAGCGCCGCGCCACCGGGGGCGGGGAGCCGGGACAGGGCGGCCUCCUCCCUGCCCGCUGGCCCUGCCCUCCCGCCACCCAGUGCUCUCCGGAGCGCCCCGCUUCUCCGGGGAUGUCGGGGCUUCGCACCUCGAGGACUGCGGUGGGGGGUAUUGUUCUGCCUGUCCCGUCCCUUGGGGAUGGGAUGCCUGCGGGACCGCCUCGACGGCGCUGGCGGCUCUGCGUUGGUGCGGAAGAUUGGGGGUGAGGGGGUGGUGGAGAAAGGAAAAAAAAUAGGAAAAAAAGAAGGGGAUAGGGAAAAAGAAAAAAAAAAAAAAAGAAGUUGCGGCCCGGACAGGAAGCAAGGAGACCCUGGAACUGGAUCCGGAUUUCCUAGGAAUGAGCAGCGCCCAGCUGGCCGCCGCGAAAAGAGUUCGCUGCCCAUUUUUGAGCUGAAAGCCGUAGCUUUGUCUCGAAAAUAAACUGCUCACGGGGGUGUAGACCAGUGAGUUGAAACAAAACAACAGGGCAAGUCCGCAGCAGGCUUCUGCCAAGGCAUCGCGUAGACCGUCCUGGAAGAGCCGCCCCGCUCUCCGCGUCCGGGCCAGCCCUCCGCCUCGCUGCCGGGGCCACCGGGGCUCUGCCAGGGGCGGCUUUUCUGCAAGCCCGCCUCCAGGUCUGCUGCCAAAACUUCGUGCGUGGACGAGGCACGAGGGGCCACGCCACACGUCAUUUUCAGAGCGAGGUUUUCACGUGGGUCCCUUCAGCGUGCGGUGCUCCCGCAGCAAGGACCUAUCCCGGUGGUCGUCCGACAGACCUCCUUUGUGCCCCGGCCCCACGGCGUGUGCGCGCCCCACGCACCGCCGGUCCCCGUGGAGUGCUGGCAUCACCGCUCUCCCCGCGGCUCGCCGCGACGGGGAGAUGGGACACGGGUGUCAGCGAGAUCCAACCAAUACUUUUUUUUCUGAGGGGAAAACCCCUCCAGCCCUGCCCCGGUCGUGCAUUUCCUGCCCCCCCCUCCCCCCCUCCGGCCCUCUGUCCCGCCUGGCCUCCUAGCAGGUGAUGCCUAUGGUCACAGACCUCCGUGCCUCUCACCCCCACCGCCCCAGCGGCGGAUCUCACGGGCUAACGGUAAUCGCAGUUACCGAAGUAGCACUACGGCCUGAGGAGGCGGACAAAACCCCGGCCCGCCGGCAGAGCCCCCCGGCGUCCCUCCUGUCCCCUCCCUGGCGGAGCGCACGCCUAUGGAGACGCAGCUGGGAGCAGCGAGGAGCGCGGCCGGUGCAUUCAGAGCCGCCGCAGACUCCACCUCCUCGUCCUCCCCAUCAUUGUUAGCUCUGUCAUUAAUACCGCUCCUUAAGCAUCCUCCGCUCCCGUCUCCCCCCGUGGAGCGGAGCGCCGGGGAGCGGGAAGCGAGCGCCCGACCGCCGCUCUUGCCGCCGCGCCGCUGCCCGCCGCAGGCUUCGGCUCCGGCCGCCGCUCAGGUCCGGGCCGCUCGGGAUGUAAAAGAGACAGUCAUGUGGCCCCUUUCUAGCGGAGCUGACCCCGCGGGAUUAAAGGUCUCACCAGCCUUUCUUUCCUUUUCUCUGCUCGUAUAAAAGCAGGUUGAAGGUGAUGCGGUGUCUUGGGCAGACACUGCAGUGUUUUGAUUCAGCUCAGCCCUUUUCACUGUUCAAAGCAGCUGUUCAAAUACUAGGGCUGCUUACUUUGACGUGACGAAGAUUUUCAAACAACCCCAAAAGCUUUGAACUGACAGGCCUCCUUGAUAUCUCCUUCAUUGCAGUGCAGCUACUCGAGAAUAUUCGCUAUAAAAUACAUAGAGCGCCACUUAACUGGAGCUGACUCCUGGCUGGGAAGCGAGGUGCUGCAUACACAUCAGGUGCAUGCAGAAGGACGCGGGCGGGUUGCGGGAGCCCUCUGGCAGCCCCCUGCCAGCCUCCCCAUCUCCCCACUUGGGGGUCCCCUGCCCACCACCCGCCCCCAGCUGCCGCGGCGGGCUCCGGCUGACGAGAUGUUGAGCUCCCUGGUGUUUCAACUCCGUGCGUUCCGGAGAGAAAGCUGCCUUUCCAGCAGCAAAACAAGAGCACGGCUCGUUCCCAGCGAGCCUCGGCUUCCAGCCGCCGGUCGUCAGCCUUCCCGGCUCGGGGGGCCGGGGGAGCACUCCCAAAACACACGGUCCUGCCUGCGUUUGGAUGAGUGCGAUUGUAGGGUGGGAAAUACGUGUUUGCAUAUGCCUGUUGUGUUUAGAGGUGAAAAGCUUUUUUUUGAACUCUGGUCUCCAAAACCUUGAGAUAGACUCACGCAGCUAAAAGGAAAGGAGGAGGGGGGAGAAAUCCCCGCGCCUCCUUUCCGCGUCUCUAUUAUCUUCCCAUUAGAUGUUGUUUUAGGAGGAAAUGUGCCAGGAGUGCAAAGACGCGGCGAGUCGCUCAGAGAAUUGCUGGGUGCAAUAAACGUGAGGCUCCUGGUGCUCGCUUUAAAGGCCAACUUGGAAGAUUUGUGCUUAUUGCUGGGGCGCAUUUAAUGCACCUUUUGUGAGAUGGGAUUGUUUUGAUCUCUGCUUCCUUUUUAACCUUUCUCUAUGAGGUAUUCAAGCCUGCGCUUUCGUGUGGCUCUUUCCAGUGUUGCUCCAAGGAGUCUGAUUCGGCGGAGAGACCCAAGACAUGAAUGAAACUUCAACUUUAAGGGCCUGCGGAGAGACAAAACUGAGGCCGGGGCUUCACAAGUGAUCGCUUUAAAAAAAUCCAAUCUACACAAAGAGGCAGCUGGCUGCUUUAAUGAAAACUGCUUAAAGCGGCAAGAACCGCAGCCUCAGGGAUGUAUUUAUAAGAUGACUCAAAAGCUACACUUUCAAGUUGCUUCUCCUCGGGGUAGAUAUAACAAACACAUUUAACUAAGAAAUCUAAACAAAAAGGACAGAAAUUGAUAACUUUGAUUGCACAAGCUCAAAUUACCCAUUGAAAUUAAAAUCCGUCAUCUAAAUAGAUUUCUCCACCUAUCUCUAGAGAAAAGAAAAUCCCCCUCCCUGCAUAUGUAGAUAUACACAGGUAAUAUCAUAUACAUUUUUGCCCUGAUAGAAUACUGAUUAUCCCAGAUGAUAGAAAGUAGAAAGGUGUAGAAUUAGAAAAAAAAGUUUCCAUAAAGUUUGUAUUAAUGUUCAUUUCCAACAUUCCCCGCAACUCUAUUCUUGUGGCCUCUUCAUUCUUCUGAGAUUCUACUAUUUUAUCAGCAUCACUGUUUGAACUAGUGGGAUAUAAUGUUCUAAGUUCGGUAUUUGAAAUUAAAUUAUUUGAAUUCACGGAUAUUAAUCUUUUCCCUUCAUCCUCCGGUUCUGAAUCUUGUCAUUAAAAAUGAUCCACCCUU